rnacentral:rRNA from 1 species
CCCUUAGAUGUUCUGGGCCGCACGCGCGCUACACUGAUGCAUUCAACGAGCCUAUCCUUGACCGACAGGUCCGGGUAAUCUUUGAAUCUGCAUCGUGACGGGGAUAGAUUAUUGCAAUUAUUAAUCUUCAACGAGGAAUGCCUAGUAGGCGCAAGUCAUCAGCUUGCGUCGAUUACGUCCCUGCCCUUUGUACACACCGCCCGUCGCUCCUACCGAUUGGGUGUGCUGGUGAAAUGUUCGGAUCGGUCGUUUGUCGCGGUUUCCGCGGCUCGUGGCUGAGAAGUUCAUUAAACCCUCCCACCUAGAGGAAGGAGAAGUCGUAACA